rnacentral:rRNA from 1 species
AGCGAACGCUGGCGGCAGGCUUAACACAUGCAAGUCGAGCGGGCCCUUCGGGGUCAGCGGCAGACGGGUGAGUAACACGUGGGAACGUACCCUUUGGUUCGGAAUAACGCUGGGAAACUAGCGCUAAUACCGGAUACGCCCUUUUGGGGAAAGGCUUGCUGCCGAAGGAUCGGCCCGCGUCUGAUUAGCUAGUUGGUGGGGUAAUGGCCUACCAAGGCGACGAUCAGUAGCUGGUCUGAGAGGAUGAUCAGCCACACUGGGACUGAGACACGGCCCAGACUCCUACGGGAGGCAGCAGUGGGGAAUAUUGGACAAUGGGCGCAAGCCUGAUCCAGCCAUGCCGCGUGAGGGAUGAAGGCCUUAGGGUUGUAAAGCUCUUUUGUCCGGGACGAUAAUGACGGUACCGGAAGAAUAAGCCCCGGCUAACUUCGUG